GAGUACGGGGGACUCCCAAGUCUCCUCAACACAAGAUGUGAGAACUUGGAAGGCUGCACGAAAGCACCAUGUCAUCUCCCACCAAUCCUGCCGGUUGGCAUCGGUCAAGUUGAGGACUUCAAAUGAUGAAAUUCUCUAUUAAUUUUCUUAGUACGUGUAGCCCCUUUAGUCUUUCUUAAUUUUGUUGUUGGGUGGAAACGUGUACAGUACUCGUGUUUAAGCUACUGUUUCUGUUGUCCACAUAUUCCACUCCAAACAUAAAAAAUAAUAAUAAUAAUUGAUUUAGUAUUCCUAUCUCUGUAUUUUGAAGUAUUUUACCAAGUACCUGCCCUCAAAUUUUUCUGUUCCGUCUUAACAAAUUAUUAGGAGUCAUCAAGACCACCAGCCGCAUGAAGUGGUACUAUUUCAUGGUAGAAUAUAUACAAGGCUGCUACGAGAAAAGUUUUUUAAAAAAAAAAUCAAUGAGACAUUUUGUCUAUUUCCACCUGAAUUUCUAAGAAUAACCUAAAAACAACCACCAAGAGAUUGAACAGUAGGAGGGUAAAUUUCUUGCGGUUUUCUUGAGGUAUUAACGCGGGAAGACAGAUGGCACCAAAAACCGUACCAAAGAAAAAAGAAUGAGAAAAACAUAAAUAAAGUCUUACCAAACUCUCGGUUGCCCCCACUCCCCAAGGGCCUCCAAAAAGAAAGGAAAAAGAAAAAAAAAAACCCCGGAAAAAGGAACAAGAUACCGUCCAGCCUUGUACAAAGUAAUAUACACCAUAACUAAUACUAGUAUAUUAUUUGCAGACUGACAUGGAAAGUUAACCUAGUAAGUAGAGCUAAUUACUUUGAAAUAGAAGAGGAGUAAAAAGAUUCUAUGGAGAGAUAUCAUGUUCAAGAUGUAAUGAGCACGAGCAACGAUGAGCCUUUUCAAAUAAUGGGUUUUUCUAGGGGAUCCCAUCGGGUACUAAUUAACAUAUUUAAAAUUAAUCUAAUGUAUCACGUGUAUAUAUAUAUAUAUACAAACAAUUGUUACCUUCUUUUAUAUUUAUGUAUUUUUUCUAUUUAAUCUUACCUGUCUUUCAUUAUAUUUAUUUAUUUUUUAAAAAAAAAUAUGACACAUGAAAUAUAUCUUAACGUGUACCAAAUGAACACCCAUUGAAUAGACCCUUUAAAUGAGUAUCUUCUUAUAGUUAAUCGCAAAUUGAUGGAAGAUGACUCAAAGGUCAUACGUUUUGUUUGUUGGUUUUAGACUUUUAGAAUGGAGAGUUGAUUUGAGGCUUGUACUGUUCUCUCCCUCUCCAUUCUUUCCAUUCUGGAAAAAAGAUUAGACAGAAAUUCCUCAUCAACGCAUGUUACAAGGUAGUUAACAUUUACUGAAUUUGUCGUACGAAUUGGAUAAUAGCACGGCAAUCAUUAAGCUUUAACAUUAAAAUUGAUGUUGCACGGCAAUCAUUAAAAUUAUUAUCCAAUAUGUACAACCAAACCAACGAUGCAACAGCAACAGAAAUGUCAUUUUGCGGGGAUGUCAUCAGGGUUCUCUUCUUGAUCAGAGUACGGUUCUAAAUUUCUAAUGCUACAUAUUGAUGAUUUUCUUGGUUCUUUUUUCUCUUCCACUUUGGCGUAGUGGAAAACCUACCUAAACCAAUCCACAUUGAUAAACUAGUCUUAAAUUAGUUGGUAAGCAAUCGUCAGUUGAUCCUACUUCUUCCUCCCCCACUUUCCCAUGCGCCCUAUGCAGCACUAGAUUAGAUACCUUUUUGUCAUCAAUGAAAACGGUUUCCCUUUGGUUUAUAGUUUAUUUGGAAAUUGCUUCUGCUAAAAUUGCCCCACUGCGCGUAAUUAAUUUACUCGGUUUCUGCCGCUGAAUUGAAUUAAAUAUUAUUGUAGCCAAGGUUGAAACAUUCGAAAUUCUUGUUAAGCCUGUGGAUUUUAUUGCAUUCUCAAUUGCUCCGCAAUAAAUACUCCAUCCAAUUCCAAUUCGUGAAGAACCAUCGUUUUCUAUGAAGCAAAGAGAACGCAAGUUUUCCAGGGCGGGUGAAAUUGUGAGAGAUUUUCAAAACUAUAUGGAGUUUCUUGCAGGCCUUGGUUUUAAAAUAGGGGAUAAUUGCAGAAACCUCCCCUGAGGUUUCUGACAUUUGCACUGACCUCCCCUGUGGUUUGAAAAAUUACACUGACCUCCCCUAAGGUUACUAAUCCUUUGCAAAUUCAGUCCAAACGAUUAAAAUAUUAUUUUAGGGAGUGAAAUUAGAAUUUUUUUAUCAAAUUUGUCCUUUGUACUACAUUUUCAAUGAAUGACAAAAUACUACAAAUCAAUUAACAAUUAAUAAAUUUUAAGGAAUAUAGUUUAUAGGCAAAUACGCAUUAUUUAUUUAAAGUACCGGCUCUUUAUGGGUAUUUUACUUUUAAACAUUUAAUUUAAUACAAAUAUUUAGACUCAAAUACAUAUUUGUAUUUACUUUCAAAUAUUUAAUUUUUGUUAAAUAUAAAAACUAUCAAUCUCUCUUCCGUAAAAAUAUUAAUAUAACACUUUUUCAAUUUUAGUUACAAACAUUUAUGUAUUUAACAUAAAUUAUAUGAUUCACAAUAAAAUGCCAUAAAGAGCCAAUACUUUACUCAUUUAAUGGAUGAAAGCCAUAAAGAAUUAAUAUUUUAUGGGCCAUUUUUUUAAAAAAAAUAUUUAAUUUAUAUUAAAUAAAUAACCUACCGAUUUCGUUUUUGCAAGAAUAUUAAUGUAACACUUUUUGAAUUUUAUUUACAAACAUUGAUAUAUUUAUCAUAAAUUAAAUGUUUGAAAGUAAAAUAUCCGUAAAAAGCCGGUACUUUAAAUGAGUAAUGCGUGUUUGCCCAUAAAGAACCGGUAACUAUUUAAAGUACCGGUUAUUUACGGGUGUUUUACUUUCAAAUAUUUAAUUUAAUACAAAUAUUUACGCUCAAAUACAGAUUUGUAUUUACUUUCAAAUAUUUAAUUUUUGUUAAAUACAAAACCCACCAACUUCUCUUCCGUAAAAAUAUUAAUAUAACACUUUUUCAAUUUUAGUUACAAAUAUUUAUGUAUUUAACAUAAAUUAAAUGAUUCAGAAUAAAAUGCACAUAAAGAGCUAAUACUUUACUCAUAUAAUGGAUGAAAGUCAUAAAAAAUUAAUACUUUAUGGGCUAUUUCUUUUUUUAAAAAAAAUAUUUAAUUUAUAUUAAAUAAAUAACCUUAUAGAUUUCCUUUUUGCAAGAAUAUUACUGUAACACUUAUUGAAUUUUACUUACAAAUAUUGAUAUAUUUAUCAUAAAUUAAAUGUUUGAAAAUAAAAUUCCCGUAAAAAGUCGGUACUUUAAAUGAGUAAUGCGUGUUUGCCCAUAAAUUAUACUCCUUAAAGUUUAUUAAUUAUUAAUUGAUUUAUAAUACUUUGUCAGUCAUUGGAUAUGUAGCACAAAGGACAAAUCUGGUACAAAAUUCUAAUUUCACUCCCAAAAAUAAUAUUUUAAUCAUUUGGACUAAAUUUGCAAAGGAUUAGUAACCUCAAGGGAGGUCAGUGUAAUUUUUCAAACCACAGGGGAGGUCAGUGCAAAUGUCAAAAACCUCAGGGGAGGUUUCUGCAAUUAUCCCUUAAAAUGGAGAGUUCAUAUUGAACAAAAAAACGUGAUCCCCUCCUAACCUCUCCAACUGCGACAGAAAGUAGGGAAGCUUUACUUUCCAGUCUACCUGACAUGCGUUCACAUAUUGCAUCAUACCAGCAGACUGCAGUGGAAGUUUUCCAUGUAAGAAGAAUUUGGGAGCCUGCAUGAAAGAUGCUAAGAGGUUUCGUCGUGACAUUAAAGAGCCAAUUCCCAGUUGGGAUCCUCUGUGUCGUUAUUCGGUGUCAAAUCCAGUGUCAAUCUCACUUAUCACGUGAUAGUAGAAGAAAUUUAAAUAAACAGCACAUGACAAAUUAAAAAAACAAGACACUUGGCAUAAAUAUAGGAGAGGCACUGAAUUGUCACGGAAAAAGUGACACUGAGAAUCCCGUGCGGUCAAUUCCACUUAACACGCUUCUAAUUUUGAAUAUUCUACUGCGAAGGUUCAGGAAAAAUUGUCAGCAAAUCACCAUAUGCACGGUAACUGCAUGCAUAUCUAUCACUUGUCUAGGUUGUAUUCUUGGUUGGAAUUUUUUUUUUUUUUUGAAUUGGGGACAUCAUAGGUAAAAAAAAAAAAAAAAAAUUACUACUUUGUAAUAUAUAGUUAGUAAUAAGAGAUUACUGUUGAAGUGUCUUUCUAAAUGCUAAUGAUCAGCAUGACAAAAGAACAUUUUGUUUAGUAAUUAAUUGACCAAGCCCUCUGACGUUUGUUGAAAGUGUAGUCUUCCAUUAAAGAAAGGAAAGUAAUUAUAAAGUCUGCAUAAUAUCAGGAUAAAUCAGGGUUGUUAAGACUUCAACCAGUCAUGCUCGCCACCAACCACCACACUCCUGCCAUCCAUCCCUCUAUCUAUCUCAAUUGGGUAGGUGAAGGAGCCAAAUUACCCUACCAGAUCCCUGAUAUUGACCUACUUUUUUUUCCAAAUAUAAUUGUUCCUUUCCCACCCAUCUUUAGCUGACUGCGAUGGGAUUGCUGCCCUUUCAUUGAAGACCAGAUUUACCCCAACCAUGUCACAGCUGUUGUAGGAGUACGAUGUUCUUGGCGGAGAAGGGGCGGUACAAUUGGAAUUGUCAUGCAAUCAUGUGAUUGUUGUAUAUUUCAUAUGAUUUGGUAUAUAUUUACGUUUCUUUCUUUGUCGUGCACAUAAUUUUUGUUCUUGUAUAUCAACUCAAUAAUUUAAUACAAUUACAUUUGUAAGUAAAUGUAUAACGCCUUCUGAAAAAAGUACAACAAUUGUAUCGACUAUACGGCAGGUCUAAUUGCACUGACUGAUCCCUUCUUCUCCGUUCUGCGCCUAUGUGUGAAUCCAGAAACAGGCAACAAUUCGUGAAGAACACUUUUUACCACAAAAUAGACCUUUAUCAUUUUAUACUACCCCACCGUGUGGUUCGCGAUGGCAUGUUUUGAAUUUUGAUCUUCGAAUCAGACCUCCACGUAGAGGUGUCAAAAUGGGUGAUUUGGAUAAUGGAUAUAAGUGAGUCAACCCAUUUAUACCCAUUUAAUUAGAUGGAUAUAAAUGGGUAAGUCAAAAAAUGAUUUGGGUAACCCAAUUACCCAUUUAUAAUCCAUUUAUUUUAACUUUUUGUAAACUCAUUUAAAUUCAUUUUUGGAAACUAAGUUACGGAGGCUCGACAAAAGUAAAAGAAAAAAGAAAACAAAAAGGAAAAAGUAACAAUAAUGACAAAACAAAAGACAGAUUUUUUUUUUUUUGGCAGAUUCCAUAAUUAUCUGUCAUUUUCGAUAAAUUCUGAAAUAUAAACCGGAUUAACGUUGCCACAUGUCCAACCAUGCAUGUAAUAAGUGAAAACAAUAUUACUGUGUUUACGAAUAUUGUCUUCUUAACAGAAUUUAAAUGGAGGGUUUCAUCUGUUCCGUGCUAAAACUAUAAAAAAAAAAAUAAAAUGAAAACCCUCUAUAAUUUUGUAGGAUAAAGAGUAAGCUUUCAUCGACCUUUAAAAUGUGUCAACCAAUAAUAUGAAACUCGACUGCAAAAGACAGAGAAAAAAGAAACCUAUAUAUAUAAGAGAGUGACGAGUGUGGACUAAGCCCACCACAUUUUUUUUCCUCCAAACCUUAACUUUGGUGAUAUGCUAGUGAUGUACGUAUACUAAAUUAAAAUAGAUAUCAUGAAAGUUAAAAGGUGUUUUAUGUUAUUUGACCAAGUCCAUGAAACGAAAAAAAGAAAAAGAAAUGGUAGUUAGUUAAAUUUUAUGAGCAUUGAAACCACUAUUGCAAAACGAAUUUUGUCCUUUAGAUAAUAAAUUUUGGUAUGUAAAUUAAUUUAAUUAGAAAUAUUUUAAAUUAAUUUAAUUAGAAAGAUUUCAAAUUAAUUUAAUUAGAAAGAUUUUACGUCCCAUAAAAAAAAAAAAAAGAGGUUACAGAGCAUCAAGCAUCCAUGAAAUGAACAUUCGUAGCAUGAGUUGGGAACAUGGUUGAUAUUCACAUUAACCAAGAUGUUAUAAUCUUGUAGUGAAAAUCUUUAUUUUCGCAUAGGAAAACCCGUUUGAAAAAAUCAAAAGUUCAAAACCUAAUAGUUUGCAAAUAUAGAUGGAAGUGACAUCAACUAAGUUUAUACGGACUGAAGAAUAAAAAAAAAAAACAACUGAGUUUUUAAACUGAUCAGCCCACAACCUCAACCAAUGCCAAAUUUGGGUUAAAUGGUCCACUUUAGUUUAAUGUUCCUCUUUUUCUUUUUCUUUCUUUUUUUUUGAAGCAAACUCAAAUUUUAUCUGUAAUGAACAAAAAUUUUGAUAAAUCGAUAAACAGGAAUAACAAAAUUCUGAUCUUUCUUAUAAUGUUUUCCAUAUGUUAUACGGAGCGUUUUCUCCUUUUAGUUGAUAAACAUAAACCAAUAUUAUUAAUAAAUUAGUUGAAAAUCGUCCUACACGAUUUACUUAAUAAAAAAAAGCUGCACUAAUGGUAGAAAAUAUACAUAACAUAUGUUAUGCAAAGUUAAGUGGAAUUAUUUGUAAAAUCAAUUGGAUUAAUCUCAAUUAAGACACUACAAAAUAGAAAAUUACCUUGACGAGAUUAACUUGUGGUUUUCGUCAAAGUUGACCAGUAUUUGAAUUGAACUAAUUUAGAUGGCGCUGCUCUAUGCCCUUGAGAAUUGGUUGUGCAAAAUAAGUACUACCAAAGAAUUUCAUUUUUCAAAAUAGUCAAGGAAAUUAAAACAAAAGGUAGGAUAAUUUGAAUCAAUCAGUUCAUUUUCUUCUCAAGUAACUUCAACUUCUUGUGCUUCUCAAGGAUCAAUCAGUUCAUUUUCUUCUCAAGGAUAAUUGUUGUGCUUCUUAAUUCAAUUUCAACUUCAUUUUAAAGGACACUAGUUUUAACUGAUCUAAUUGUAUAGCCGACUAGAUUUGUUUCAAUUCAGUUAAUCGACAAAAUUGGUGACAAAACUUGUUGCCCCUUUUACCGCCCUUAAUAUAGAAGGUCCAUUUCCAAUCGUGCAGCCGACUGGAUUGUGAGUCAAUUUUUUCUUUCCCAUCUCAAUUUCUUGAAUUCUACCCCUUUCCUCCUAAAUUUUUUUUUUUUUUUUUUUAAAAACUUCACUCUAUAUCUUCAACAUUAUCUUAACUGAAGGAGCGAAUGGGGAGGAGGGUUCUAUUUGAUAGUUCAGAAAGAGAAAGUAUAAGUAAAAUGAUUCGGAUUCGAGCUUUCUUAUUUAUGCUAAAAAAAAUUAUCUUAACUAAAUAAAAAAAAAAUCUAUUUUUGAUAGUAAUGCAUCACAUGGUCCUUUUCCCCAAUUUCGGGUAGGAACAGCUGCAACUACUCUUGAACAUUUUAAGGCCUUGAUCAGUAAAGAAAAAAUUGUAGGGUUCAGAUUACGAAGUCUACAUCAAUUUUGACAACGUAGGUGUGAAAUCCACAAAAAAUUAUACUCCCUCUGUCCCACUUUGAUAGUCCUAUUUUCUUUUUUUGUCUGUCCCAAAUUGUAGUCCACUUUCCAAUUGAAGAAAAUGUAGUUGUAUUUUAAUUUUCCUAAAAUGCCCUUAUUCAAUGUAAGUUGUUGUUACUAUAAACCUACCUCAUUUAAUGAGAGUUGAUUCUUUUUUUACCAUCAAUUCAAGUUCCCAUAAAGUUGUACUCUAUUUAAUGUGAGGGUAUUUUAGGAAAAUAGCAAUCUAAAUUUACUUUUCCAACAAAGUUAAUUACUUUUUCUUAAAUUGUGUGAAAAAAGAAACAGGACUAUCAAAGUGGGACGGAGAGAGUACUAAAUUUAUGUUGUGCCCAAAUGUAUUUACAUUCUGAACAAAUGCAUGUAUAUUUUGUUGAAAUGCUUGAAACCCUUCGGGAUGGUUUCACCGGUAACGGAUCCGGCCCAGAUCCCCAUUUCUCGGAGAUUCAUCCGAGACGUAAAGGCGAGGCAGAUCGUAGAUUCGCUUUCAGUUUCAGGCUUCCAGCCACAAAGAUCUAAUGGAUCCACCACGUGCUCUGACAGGCACAAGACUAUUCCAUAAAUAUUGGCCGACGCAACGUUCCUUAUUUCUUGUGGCCAAAUAUCAGAAACAAUCAACUUAUCAAAGCCAGAGCUGAAUCUAACUUCAACAAACAUUUAUCGUUCUACCUUAAUUUAAUUUCUAAUAAAAAUGACACUUACCUAUAUGAUAUGUCCUUCCCAUCUGUGUAACAAAGAUCAAUCUAAACAUUCUUGUGAAUUUCAUAUUUGAAGGCUUCAAAAUUCUAACAAGAUUCUGACAAAGAAAAAUUUUCUCUUUCCUCCUCUUCAUUUCAUAAAUUCCAUCCCUUUUCUACUUUUUUUUUUUUUAAAAAGGCUUCACUCUUAAUCUUCAACAUUAUUAUUAUUAUUAUUAUCUUCAACAUUAUUAGCUUAAGAAGACUUGUGUUAAAAUUAGUGAGUAUACAGAUCCAACUAGAUCAAGAGAAUGUUACGACACUGUCUUUAAAUUUUUUUUUAUUACAGGUGAGAUUUGAACUCUCACCGACCCCGUAUUAAAGGACUUCAAUUCCUCCCGAUGGCCGCUGAGCUUUAACGCAUCAGAUGGUCCAGUUCUCCGAACAUGUGAGACGCUGCAGUAACGGUGAGGAUAGUCGUAGUUUCAGCGACAAAUAGCUAAAGGAUCCACGUGCUCUGGCAGGCACGAGUCGAUUCCAUGAGGAGAUGCUGGGUCCACGCUUUUGCAUUUGGGUUAAUAGCAGUUUGGCGCCCCUAACUUUUGGAUGUAGUCACACAAUGAAAACUAGUCAAUGUUAGAAAUGAAAAAAAGAAAAAGAAAAAAGAGUGUAAUGAAAAUAUUGCCCUUUUAUUCAUGAAAUUAUUUAUAUAACUUACUAUCAUUUCCUUUCAUUGUUAAAAGAUUUAUAUCUUCUCUAUCGUAUCAAUUAUAAAAAAAUAUCAAAGUUAAAGAAAGGUGUUUAGUUUGUAUCCUUCAAAUUCUUCAUGUUGGAUUAAUGUUUGCUUCUAUAUAUGUUUUGUUCAAUUUAUUAGACUUUAAGUCAAACAAAAGGAAUAAAUGACAAAAUACUAAAAAUAAAUACAAUUACCAUUAUUUAAAAUUUUAGAUUAAUAACAUUGUCUUUUUUUUUUUUGGUUUCAAAUUAGUCCAAUAUGAAAUACUUAAUCAAAAUUGCUAAAAUGGUUGAUACGCCUUUUUUUUUAAAAUUAGAGAAGGAAAAUGGACAUUAAAUCUAAUAUUAUUUUUUGAGAAGAAAAGGUAAAAAUAGUAAACUAUUUAAAUGUGGGGUAUGUCCUAACGAGUGCCCGGGUGUUGAUAUUUUGAAAAAAAUAGAAGAGUUAAAAUAGAGAAACUAUUUAAAUGUAAAAUAGGGUAAUAGUUAUUCAUGCGUGCACUUACAUGAUACGUAAGCAUUCAUCAGAAAAAAACCUUAAAACAAAUAAAUAUUCCAAACGAAGAAAAUCAAACUCACUAGCAUUGGCAUCAAAAUGAAAUGAAUGAUGAUUUAGAGAAGAUAUCAAAUUUGAAACUGUCCAUAUAAAUAAUACUCUCUUAUCUUUUGGACUUAUUCGGACUGGGUAAUGCAGUUGAAAAACAAGUAACACUGAUCCUAUUUUUGAAAAAUACCAAGAAAAAAGUAUCCCAACAGCUGUUUAGUUUUUGUGUACUUGUUCAGCCUAAUUCCUCGAGUGUCCUGUUUGUGCUGUACUUCUUCGGAUGCUAUUGUAUCCUCCAAAAGUUAGACAGAUGGGAUGAAUUAGUCCACUAAAACGUGGCUCAAAUGAGUACAUGAAAGACUCAAAAGUCCAGGUACUCAUAUGACAAAGCCAAAGAUUAAUCAAGGCAACAGGAACUAGUAGUGUUUCCAUUCAUUUGUUGAAACACUGGUUUGAUUUGAAAAAAAAUGGAAAAAUUAAAAUUUCAAAACUAAGGCCAGCGUUGAUUUUUUGGCAUUUUCUUUAAUAAGUGAUACAAGAGGACAAAUCAGAAUAAAAAAAAAAUGAAUGCUCACGAUACGAUCGGCUGAUCUGAUAACAAAAAAUAGAUAGCAUUAAAGUGUCUCAAUCGUGAAACAUGUUUCAACAAAUUCCUAAACCCUCUACAGUUUUUUUUUUUUUUUUUUUUUUGGGGGAAGUCUAAGCAUCAGCUGUCGUUAUAAUUAUUGCUACCAUACUUGGACAGUUGGACUAGUAAAUGUAAAUAUGACUAAAUGCCUGGCCAAUGGAUGACAAUACCAACCAACCAACCAAUCUAGAAGCUUGGACCUCCGCAAGGUCCAACGUGUGUUGAUGACUAAAAGCUUGAGCAAAUAUGCAAAAUUACUACUUGAAUUGCAGGCUAAAGCUGAAGUCUAAACCCUUCAAUUGGACUGCGGGAUAAUAAUAUUAUUAUAAAUCUUUAGUUAUAUAUAUACAUAUAUAUAUAUAAUUGAAUGAGAAAAUUGAUGCAAAACAUCCGUGUACAAUUGUUCAAGAAGGACAUGAUUGCUUCCUAUCAAAUUUCUUCUGAUACAGCUGCCCAUUAAGAAAUUUCGUUGAUGAUUGACAGCAUGAAGGUAAAAGAUUGUUCAAAAUGAUUAAUCAUCUUGAAGCCCAUCAUGCAGCUAACGCUAACUGUUGUAACCCUGAAAAUACUGCUCAAACGCACAAUAAAGCAAAUGUUGAUCGUUCUACGCCAGUACAUAAGCAGGAGCAGCUUUUGGGAUCGGUGCGGUGAUUCGCUAUCAUGAGGGACGCUUUCAAGCUUAUCAUCCAGCUAACCUCAAUGAUUGUAGCCCAUCCCCUCAAAAUACCGCUCAAAUGUGGACAGCUUCUCCCUUCAAAUCAAACGCUACUACAAAGCAAAUUUUGAUUGUUCUUCUCCACACUGCAUAAGAAACCUUUUGGGAUUGGUGCUGCGGUGAUUCGCAAUUACGAGGGACACUUUGUUGCGGAAUUGUCCGCACAUUUCACAAUGGUCUGAUAGCCGUUGAGAUAGCUCAGGCGGUAGCAGCUCGUGAGACAAAUUGGUUUGAUUACAAAUUUAGAAAUUCCCGAUUGUAUCCUGGAGGGUGGUACACUUGAUAACAUGUUGCGUGACGAGGAAUAGGUGUUGUCGGCCAGUGCCCUAUAAUUGAGGAUGCCUAUUAUAAUUGAGGAUAUCUGACUGUCCAUAUCAGACGUAAAUGUUGUUGAUGUACGAUAGAUUCUUAACGAUGACAAUAAAUAGGAUGGCACGUGAAUCAGCUUUUCUUGUUAAACUUUCAGAAAUACCCACCCGGUCUUGCUAAACGGUUCUUUCAAUAAUUUGGUUAAUAAUCACUGCUGUGUUUGAAUAGAAGAUUAUUUGAAAUAAUUUUUUUUUUAAAAAUACUGUAGCAUUUUUUUUUUUGAUGUGAUAUAUGUGAGAUAACAAGGUGAUUGAAAAACGUAUUGAUGGUUCAAGUAAAUCAGUGUGUGUAAAUAGAAUGCAUUCCAAACACACUAAUUUUUCUUUUUUACCAAAAAAAAUAAAAAUUGAAAAAAAAAAUCAUUUUUUAAAAGCUUUAAAAAAUUACAUCAAUCCAUGCCAAUGGUCCGAAACGUUCCCGGGAUUUGGUACCAGUAAUUAAGUUCACCCCUUCUCAAAUUACCCUUUCUCGUCGAUCCCACGGAAGAUUAGCUGCCGAAGAAUUUUGGCCCGGUAGUUCUUUGACUUUGAUUAAAAAGUAAUUAAUUAAUGUUUUUCUAAUGAAGCUCAUCUAGAACAAAACUUUUUCGUUUUCCGUGCCAUCCGAGAUCACCUAUAUAAGUUCCUUUUUCACGCUUUUAUUUUAAGUUUGACGAUUAUGCAACAGAAAUUAAUACAUGUAGUGGUCUGUUUGAUUGGGUGUAAGAUAUUUUCCCUGGAAAGAAAAUUUUUUCAAAGGAAAUAAAUGCUUUCCUAUUCGUUUACCGGUGUUUGGUUGACUAGUUGUUGGGCCUCCUAGAAAUUUAAGCCCAUUAGAUCUCGAAUAUCCAACCCACAACAGCACCUUGCAUCCGAACAUACAUUUUACCAGACAACCAAAUUCAAGAAUUUGGCACCAAUAUUUUAGGCAAUAGGUUUGACAUUCAGCAUUUGAGAUGAAUUUUCAAUUGAGAAACAAUUUCCAAUUUUUUAAUUAAAAAAACGUAAAAUUCAUAUAUUCAAAUAUGACCAAAAUGCAUUAUGACCACGGCAUUAGCCCAAUUCAUUUUUGACUUAUCCAUUUAUACACAUCUAAUUAAAUGGAUAUAAAUAGGUUGACUCACUUAUACCCAUUACCCAUUUUACCCAACCCAAACUUGUCCAAAUCACCCAUUUUGACACCUCUAGUCUGGCUGCCUAACAAGAUAUUGCCAUUAAGAAACGAAGAAUACGAAAAGUAAUAUGAAUUGAAUCGUAUUACUAAGAAGGAGGAGCUUGUCCUCAAGAGGCUUUUAUUAGUUUCCACAAAUUUAGCAAGCAGUAAACAUCACAAAAUGGUCAAAGGAACCACCAGUUUUUGCUAAAGUUGAUCGGUUUUUCAGAUUAAAAAAAAAAUAGAUUAACUUUUUUUUAUACACUAUCAGUGUACAAAUCAGUUAUGCAAAAUCAUUUUAAAAGGUUUUGGCAAGACAAAUUUUUUUAAAAAUUUUGGGCCAUAUUACAAGUAUGCCACCAAAACAAACACUACAUUCAAUUUCAGUCAAAAGCCACAAAAAAUAUGUCGGAUUUCUAAGGCGUUCUUUUUAAAAAAAAAAUAAAGAAAAAAUUGCCAUGCCAAAUUUUUUUUAAUGAUUUUAAUGAACGCCACACUGUGGGCUUCCUUUUUUUCACCCUUUUGUCCAUCGGCAGAAUCUUGUGUUAUUGGUGGCUCAGCCCAAAAAGAACUAGAUUGGUUAGGUAUAUAUAACUGAUGGACUAAAUUGGUUAGGUAUAUAAAAAGUUUAGGGACUAUUUUCGCUUCUGAUAAAUAAUUUAUGGACUUUUCUGGCCUUUUGCUCCUUUUAAAAAAUAAAAAAAAAAUUGCAAAACCUUAAUUAUAGGUGAAAUAAAGCACUGGGUUUUUUAAUUCAUUGAUUGAGUAAAUUGCAGUGUGGAACUUGUUCAAACAAUCCGUACAAAAUUGGAUGCAAAUGGUUGGAAUAGCACUAAAGUAGCGAGAAGAUGGGUGGCCAGAAAAUUGGAACUUUUAGUUUAGAAAGUUUUGUGGUUAUUGCAGGUCGAAUUCAGAAGAAAAGGCAAAAAGCCAGCAAACUUGAUUUUGAGGCCUUUGUUAACGUCAAUAAUGUCGAACAUCAACUUCCAGUUGUCCCAACAUUUGAGGAAUUGCUUCACCUAAGUUUCAUAUCCGUGAUAAAAGUAGUAUGUUUUAUUUCUCGAAUUUCCUCAAAAUGUGUGUUCAUUAAUCUUCUCCCUGUUUUGUUGAGUUUCUGCCACAAUGUAAUAUUCCUAUAAUUGGCUAAUUCCUUUUACAAUAGCUAAACAGGAUAGAAUCUCAGUAACUUGAUCACGUAAGAAGUAGAUAACAUAUAUGCUUAGCCCCAAACUUUCUCGUGAUUAUUUAUAUGGUACCAUUUACGGUUCUAUGACUGAAACCAACCAUCUUUGCUUCAUAUAUCUUCGUUCUUAUGAGUAACAAUUAAUCCUUCUGGGUGCUCGAAGGAUGGCAGGUUCCGAAUUAAAGAACGUAAGAAUAAAGAAGUCUUUGCAAGCAAUUAUUACUGAGCUAUUCAAGUUGCAGCAGCGUAACGGCGAUUGAAAUAUGGAUUCAUCUCUUUAACGUUAACCUUCUUCCCAAAAAUUUCACUUUGCCAAAGUUUGGUUGAAAUUCUUUUUAGAGUUAAUCGAGUUUUAGACUGCCGGUUUGCAAGGAAAUAUAUGUCAUGAUUGAUCGAGCUGUGUGUUAGCAGCCGAAUAAUAGAUUUUUAACACAGUCCUCGCGAUUUCUAGCAGCACGUGAAGGUUAGAUGACGGGAGGGUCAUGUUGAGUUCGGUGAUAAGAUGAAAGAAACUGUAAGUAAGAGAUUAUGAGUUCAAAAUUUUUUACUUACAAAUAGGAAGAAGAAGUAGAAGAGAAGGAAGAACGCUGUAUAAAGAGUUUAAUGGAAGGCAUUCUUGAUAUUAUAUUUGUAUAAUUAUCUUAGUUUUUUUGUUGGGUCACGAAAAAGAUUGAAGCUUCAAGAAUUCUUAGAGCUUGUUUGGCUUGCCACCAUUAAAUGCCCAAUUUAAGCAGCGGAACCAGCAGAAUUAAUGGAAGCCUUAUAGAUCUAUAAAUUCGAAUUGAAAAUGGGGAAAACACCUUUUAUUCAUUUUGAUGUGUCAAACAAAAAGGGGCCAAUAUACAGCUAUUUGGACGUGCAUUCAAUGUGAGGGUGACAUGCUGCCACGCCCAACAGGAUUUGCCACUGUCAAAGCCUAUGCACAGCAAUCACUGUCGAAGUGUCCAACAAACAGCUAAUAGAUCAGCCUCUCUCUCUCCAUCCAUAUAGUGGGAUUAAUUGGGUCGUACGGUAUUAUCAGUCCAUGGGCCCUAGAUACCCACUAUGAGGACCAAAAAAAAAAAAAAAAAAGCAAGUAGAUCAGCGACUGGACCGCUACGCUGAUGCAUCAUGUCCAACUGCUCACUAACUUGUUCUUCAUGUGAUCCUUUACAUUAACACCAAUAAAUAUGAAUGUUCUUAGUUUUAAGCAGACAAAACUUUGGCCCAUUGGGUAACUGUCUUUUGAUGGAUGAUGAACUUGGGCCAAACCCGUCAUAUGUAUUACUUUUGGAUUAGCUGAGUUCCUAAAUUUUUAAAAUCAGAAUCUGAAAAAUAGAUUUGUUAUAGGCUCUUGGUCUUAGCACUUUUAUUAAAGCUUCCUAAAAAGCACGAACUGGAAGAAAAACCAGCGGGUGGCAUCACAACAUGGGUUUUUCUAAAUGAAAAGUGGAUUUUCCACAAAGGCUGUUGAGAACCGGCCCUAUCUGUAAAUGGGCCUCACGAGAAGAUGGUGAACUGAAAAAUCUAUACCCGGACGUCUAAAUAUAAAAGGAACAAAAAGUGGUGUGUUGUGCUCUUCUUCUCAUCAAUCAAUCAUCAAUGCCAUGAUCGAAAUCGUGCUUGACUGAUCAUGGAAGCUGUGAUAGCAUAAAGCCCAAGUCGAUGAUAUGCAGUUCAACUCGACACAACUCAGUUCACCUUUAACGUAUACUACCACCAUUGAUGGGAUUAGGACGGGUACAAUUAAAAUUUAGUACAAUUAGUGCGUUUGUCUGUCGUACUUCUUUUGUAAAUUAAUGCAUGUUUACGAAAAAAAAAAAAAAAAAACUUUUGUCGGUCAAGUACCGGUCGACAGUGCUAGAUUAAGGUAGGGGAGGAGAAAGAAGGAAAAAGGUAAAAAGAAACAUUUUUGUGGGUUUUCGAAGUGUAUAUUUUAAAAAUUUUGAAGUGUUUUAAAAGGUUACUGUAAAUAAAAUUGUAAAAAAUAAAAAAUAAAAAAAUUCUCUAUUAAAAAUACGGUAAAAAACUCGUCAUCCAUCCAAAUGAAUGAAGUAGUUACAAUGUACAUCAUCAUGAACAAAGUUUACAUACACAAUAAUAAAGUAAUGCUAGCAUUUACCAAAUUCAUGUAACAAUUGGACAAUCGCACCGACCUCAAACCCUUUUCCUUCCAGGUGGAUGGGACAAGUUACCUCCAGGCACGCCUUAUUAGCUCAACCAUCUUUCGUAGUAGGGUAUAUACAUUAUUAUUAUUUGCAAUCGAUGGAUGAAUUUCGUUUUUUUACUCAAAAAAAUUUGACCAAAUCCUGUAAGAUCUUUUAAUAAUAAUGAUACACUUUUAUCUUAUAAUUAAUAAAUCUUUCCUACACUGACGGUGUAUACGCUAUCAUCGUUGGAUUCAUGACAUGUGUACAAACGUUGAAUUUCAAAUUCAAAUUUUGCAUAGUUGUCAAUCAUCCAACGCUGAUAGUAUAUACACUGUCAGUGUAGGAAAGAUUAAUCCAUAUAUAUAUACUAGCACAUAGAGGUAUCACCAGACCAAUCUGACUUGAUUCAUUUUUAAUCAUCAGCCAGCAGUCAACCUUAAUUUCUUCUUCUGCUCUAGAUCUUGUUUUUUGUUGUUAAUUUAUUAUUUUGAUUUGAAAAGUAUCGAGAAAUUUGCAUUUGGAAUCAUAAAGGUGCCGAAUCCGGAGUUCAAAUGUGUGAUUUGACGCUGCCAUUUGACAAGUUUGCCACAUGCACUGGGAGUAGAAGAGAAUAAUUCAAAAGCACCAAACAGGUUCUAUCUGUAUCUUAAGAGCUAAGGAAGCCAAUGAAAUAAACAAUAUGGAAACAUUUUUAGUGAUGAUUGCUGAGUUAUUGAAUUGGUCAAGUUGCGUGUCUUAGUUCAAUAUGCUUGGUUAAAUUAAAAAAAAAAAAAACCCAAUAUUGUCAAACGUACAGACCACGGAGGUUUUUAUCAUGUAACGUAAUGAUGGAAGUAUUAUUUUCAAUUGAUUAUUUUAAUGGAUUUUGAUUUCAGAUAAUUUAGUUUUUGUGAUGUUCCAGUUGCUUUUAUAUUCUAAUUAUAGAUUUUAUAGUGAUAAAAAAAAACCUAAAAUCUAUAACGAGUCAAAAAGUAAUUUUUGCUGAUUCUAAUUACUCUCCAUCAUGAUCUGUUUCUAUAAUCAGAUUUUAUAAAAUCUAAAGUAAUCGAGAACAAGUCCUAUAUAUAAUAAAUAUGGGCUGAUAGAUGGAAGUAAAUCUCGGUCAACAUUAUAGAUUUUUUUUUUUUUUUCGAAAAAAUAGAAAAUCGUAGAUCUAUCAUACUUCUAGAAGUGCAUUCUCCUUGAAAAUUCAAUAUGUUCACAUCAUCUUUUUUUAAUUUAGUACUGUAGUAUAUUUGCAUUCUUGUUUGAAUUUAACGUUUCGUGUAGGUUUUCUUUUUUUUUUAAAAAAAAAAAAAAAAGUUUUGGACAUGCACUUGUUGGAUUCUGACUUCGUCUAGAAAUGGGAGGAAUCGUUUUGGUAUUCCUAUUCCACAUGGUGGAAAAUGUAUGGUUUGGUUCGCAGGAAACAACUCGCACGAUAUCUUUUAGUAGUACUAUUAAACAAAACAUGAUCAAGGAGUUUCCAGGAGACAAAGCACACCUAGAAAAACAAAGCUGAGAAACAACCUCUGAUUUCCCCGGAACCAAGAGCAAUUAAAUUAACCACUUGGACGCCUUUCUUUGAUUUUUCAGCACUCAAGUGAUUUAACAGCUGUAAUCUCCUAAUUAAUAAAGCCAAAUCAAGAGAUACAACAGCCCACAAACAAAAGCUGCAGGAGGAAUGCAAUUAAUUAUAGCCCGUUGUAGUUGUUGCUGUUGACAUGGUCCUAAUGUUGUUGAUUUUUCCUCCGGUCGAUUUGCCUUUUCUGUCUAUUAGAAUUUUAAGUAGAAUUAGAAUUAGAACUAUAACUCUCUUUUUUUUUUUGAGAAAAAUCAAAAUAGCAGAUGUUAUUCAAUACAAUAAUGCUGUUGAUAAGUUCUAUUAUAGCCUCUCUCCUUUUUUUUUUUUGGGACGAGAAUCAAUAGUGAUUUCUCACGUACCUCUUUGAUAAAAUUUUAGUUUUAAAAUAUUCGUCUGUUGUUAAUUUUUUCUGAAAUUAGCUCAAGUGGAAUGAUACUAAUGGUGAUUGAGUUGGAUUUAUCAAAAUUAUCGAUUAACGAGCUUGUUGCCAAAUCAUUGGUCAUCGAGGCAUUUGCCGCCCUUGACGAAUAAUAACAUGUACUAUAUAGUUUUCAAAGCCAGAAUAAAAGAUGCCUAAUAUCUGACUUUCAUUCCUUCCGUUAACAUUUUCCUCUCCAUUUUCUUGACGUGUCUAAUAUCUAAUCCUUUUUUUCCUAGUUGCUACUACAAUUUAUUUCUUCACCCCCGUCGGCCCAGAAAAAGAUAAUUUAUUACCCAAAUUGCCAAAUUUCAUGAUGAGUUUCCUUUGCUUUAGCUUAGGUGGGACUGUUAGAUGAUGUAUCAGCGUCAAACUUAAAUACGUGACAGGGAUAUUGACAUGCAGACAGUCAACUUUGUAUUUCGUGUCCAUUCAAUUUAGACGAGAAAUAAAUUAAUUUAUAGCAAUCCUCAAUCUUAACACGUAAGCUGGUCAAUGAGAAUCCACCAAUUUCCCAAAAAAUCACAUAAUAAUCCAUCUGCAAGACAUCGAAAGGUUAAACUACUACAUGGGUAAGAAUUUUUAACCCUCUCUACUUUAAAAUUCAUGCUGGAAUCCGAAAGUUAUCUUCUAGGAGGCAAAAGGAAUACUUUGUGCAAAGAUUUCAUCGCUUGGGCACGUAUAGAUGCUUAUAUAUAACUAGCGAUGGAGGCACACUCUCGAUGCAUGUGUAAUUUAUUAAAAAAUAUCUUUAAUUGCAAGAAUUACAAAAAUAAUGCAAGCAAAAAUAAAAAAAAUCGUUGGUAAGGAAGAAUGUGAGAAUUGGAGGGAGGUAGUUUUAGUGGACAUCAGUUGAUAAUAGAAAUAAGAAUUAAUAGAUAAUAAAGAUAAGGAUUAAUUGAUAUAGAGCUAAGGAUAAAUUUAAAAAUAUACAAAGCUAAUACCAAGUUAAUUACCUAUACAGACUUUAAUUAUUGUAAAGAUAUCUCUCGAGAUUUUUCGAAACCGCCCAAUCUUUUUGAUUUAUCAGAAAUUUAACAUUUUCAUUAUGCUCAUGUUGUCAUGAAGACCCUUGGUACUUUGAGGAAAAAAUAGUGCUAACCCAGUUCUGCAAAUUGAUUUUAAUGAAGUAUCUCCCGAAUUUCAUACAUUUUGAGUAAACUUCAGAGGAUUACAAUUUUACAGCUGACAAGCCUUAGACAAGUAUUUUGACGCAAGAAUUUAUUCUUCCAACUUUGUCGUUGUGCUGAAUAACACAGCCCGAGUUAAAGCCUAGCCUUGGAACAAAUUUUUGGCUGCUUUUUGAAGUAUUUGACACCGUGUCUCUGUUUUGGCGGUUUCGUUUUCACUCUCUUCGUUACCUGUUGAGUGUAGACUUCACCGGAUGACUAAAUAAAUUUGCUUCUUAGAUUCUAUCGACAAUAACAAUUCCUUCAACCUUAAUUUUUCUUGUUCUAGUUUUUACCUUUUUAAUCUGUUCUUCUUUCCAUCUAUAUUUCCAAUUCUGCAUUGCCUUCGUCCAGCUUCAAUUCCUCGAUUCUGUAAAGACUGUAUGUGCGUCAGUUGUUAAAGUUGAGAAGGGAAAAGCAGAGAAUCCGCAUGGGAUUCCUGAGCACUUUCUUCGGAAUUUUUGGUUUCUUGGUCGGGUCUCUGAUUGGAAUCGUGUUGGGUUUUUAUCUCUUCAUCUAUGCGGAGCCUGAACACGUUGAGGUGAUCAGUUAUAUAAAGUUCUUGUAGUUCUUGAAUUCCUUUAUUAUUAUUAUUAUUGAAUGAGUUUAGAACUGUUUUUUGAAAGUCUUGCUAAAUUCUGUCUGAUGAUUUCUUUUAUGGUUACAAGGUGUAUUGUUAUUUGAUGGGUUUUCCUGAUUUUCUGUUAGUGCAUUCAAUUGUUAAGUUUUGCAUGAUCAUGCGUUUCAGGGUUCUGUUCCAAUGUCUUUUGCCUUGUGUUAUCAUCAGCUUCAAAUCCCUUGAUGCUGCUAAGAAAUUUGGAGGUUCUAUCUGAUGCAUCGGUUAUUUUCUGGUUUUUUCUCCCCCCCAAAAUGAACAUGUUUCUGAACCUUUCCAAUUAGGUGAAGGAGCAUGAAAGAUUAUAUUUGUUGUUUUGUAAGUUUAUCUUGAAUGAGAUGUAAAAGGAACUGUCAUACCAGCUGUUUCCAAUUAAGAAUUAGCCUCUUCUUGCUAUUCCAAUCUCUCUUCCAUGUGACUGGAGGAGGUAUGCACCAGAUGUUGCAGGGGAGAUAUUCUAUUGGAAGCCAAAUCCCAUUCUUAGUCCAACAUGAAACUCCAAACAUCUAACUGCCCGCUUUUAAACAUCUAACUGCCUGCUUUUAAAGGGCUUACACUUUACACCAAUGACUGAAACAAUCCAAUUCCACUGUUGCAGCAAUAUGGAAUAACCUGCAUUUCAAUGCCAUUAUGUGCUGAUCCUCAUUGAAUGAAAACAGUUCACCUUGGUACAAAAGAAAAUAAGUAUGCAAGAUGGAGAUUGUAAUGAUGAUUGUUGUGUAUAAAGAAAUUAGAUAAGGCUUAAUCAACAUUGUCCGAUUGCUGUCUAAAAGUUGCAAUAAUUUUGUGUAUUUGUAUCAUGCAUAUGAAAAUUUUACUGCUUAUUUUGUGUGGCAAAUUCAAGUGAUCCUUUUGCGGUCAGUCAAUUUUUGCAUGCUUUAUGUCUUUAGAUAUCCCAUUUCCGUGUUCAAAUGCUUGGCAGAACAACACAUGAAGAACAUGAAAGAUGUUUUUUUAAAUGCUUUAUCUAAACAUGGAUAAGAACAGAUUGGCCUAAUUGAGGCAAUUAUUUGAAUUUACAGGAUCCCAAAGGCAAGGCACUUGACAAGCUCGAUACAACUGAAAUGCAAGAUCUUAUGCCUGAAAUUCCAUGGUGGGUGAAGAAUCCUGAUUAUGAGAGGGUAAGAUUUUGUCUUCAAUUCUUCCAGAUGAGGCUGUUUACUUAAUUUCUUUUAAUCACGUUUUCUGAUUUCUUGAUCUUUGAACCAUCAUUGUGGGUCACGCAGGUAGACUGGUUAAACAAAUUUAUUCAUGACAUGUGGCCUUUCAUUGAUAAGGUAAUUUUGUCAUGAUUAAGACUUUAUUGUUCGUGAUCAGAAAUAGUAAAUUCGGGUUCAUUCACUCUACAGGCAAGCCAUGGAACCAUUAGAAGCAUAGCAGAGCCUAUAUUUGCUGACUACAUAGGGAUGUGUAAGAUAGAAUCAAUUGAAUUUGAAAAAAUAAGCCUUGGAACUCUUUCACCAACAAUUCAUGGUGAGUUUUUCCUUUAGAGUUUUGGUGGCAAAUGUAGUUGCUGCUUCAUGUGCCCUUUGAUUCUGUUAUGUCACAGUUCAAUAGCUUCUUUUAAGUACUAGGGCAUAUAUAGUCACGUCUCUUUGAUGUUUAAAAUCGUUAGAAAAUUUAAUCAUGAUUUUCAGUAUAUGCAUACUCAUUGACUGGAUGUUAUCAUGUCUUGACAGGUCUUAAAGUUUACGAGACAAAUGAGAGUGAACUAGUAAUGGAGCCAGCAAUUAAGUGGGCGGGAAAUCCUGACAUAUUAGUCACCGUAAAGUUAGCAUCUUUAAGAAUCUUAAUCCAGGUUAGAAGAGCACAGAAAAAAUAAGACCUUACAACAGCGAAUUUAUGUGGUUCUAGGAAGAGGUCAUUUUUGUUGAAGGAUUGACGUUGCUUCUUACCAGUUGGUGGACAUACAAAUUGAAGCAGCUCCACGUAUCACAUUAAAGCCUCUCGUUCCAACACUUCCAUGUUUUACAAACAUUGUUGUAUCCUUAAUGGAGAAGGUAAGUAGUGUUUAUGGCUUCAUGAAUUCAUUCAGUAGUGCAUCAGCAAGGGAAAAUGCAUUUAUCUGAUGAUCAUCUUUAUUUUGUGCAGCCACAGGUUGACUUUGGAUUGAAAGUGCUGGGUGGAGACAUCAUGUCUAUUCCUGGCCUAUAUCGUUAUGUUCAGGUGGCAUUUUGACGAAUUUGUUAUGGACACGAACUUGGGGGAUGGGUGUCACAGGAUAAAUUCUUGUCAGAUAUAUAAUCUUACAGAAGUACCAUAAGUAUUCACCUCAAACUUCUUCCUUUUCUGGUAGGAAACUAUCAAAAAACAAGUAUCAAGCCUCUACCUGUGGCCACGGUUCCUUGAAAUUCCAAUUCUUGAUGCUUCAACGUAAGUUGCUUCUUGUGCAUCAUACAAUCUUGCUAUUGGAAAAAUGAUGUGUAACUUGUGAAAUGUUGUCGUGCAUUUAGUACAAUUUGUGGGUCAUAUACUAAGUCCUUUGCCUCCUUUUGGCUCAUACUUCCUUCUUACCUUGCAGUGUGGCUGCUAAGAAGCCUGUUGGGAUAUUACAUGUAAGAGUUGUACGAGCCAUGAAGCUCUUGAAGAUGGACUUGCUCGGACUUUCAGAUCCUUACGUUAAACUAAGUCUGAGUGGAGACAGGUUGCCCACUAAGAAAACUACCAUCAAGAAGAAGACCUUAUACCCUGAGUGGAAUGAGAAUUUUAAGCUAAUUGUGAAGGAACCUCAGUCUCAGUUUCUUCUUAUAGAUGUCUAUGAUUGGGACAAGGUACACACCCUCAGUCUCAGUUUCUGUUACAUUUAGUUAAUAUUGCACCUCUUGAGUUUAACCAAUGAAUUUGUUAACUGAUAAAUAUUUCUAUAUCUAAAAUGUUGAAGAAAGUAUAGUAGUGAAAGCGAUUUUUCAUUGAAUUUUACACAGUUAAAGUUUAACCAGAGGAAAUGUGAUUUUAAUCUCUUGGAUGUCAAUCGGAUAUAGCUUCAAGGAGAACAGACUCUUUCUUUUCUUGGAAGAUAAUAUUCCAAGGUUCUUUACAUCAUCAGGCUCCAUUUGCAAGCUGACUGGUUAAGAACUGAUCAUAAUUUAUUUUUCAUAGACUGCCAUUCAUGGUCAAUUUGCAAUCUCAGGCUAGCUAAUACAAGAAGGUGAAGUCCACAAGAACUGUUUGGAGAUAAAUUAAUUGAAACAGAUAUAUGCAGUAAUUUGUACUUUUAACCCUUACAAUCAUCUUUUAGAAUUUCUGAUACAUGCAAGUUGAUAAAUGCUGUGUGUUCAAUAAAGUGCUAAAAUGGGACGAAGAGUUGAAAUAAAAUUCUUUCUGUUGGAUUGCACUUUGAUGGAGGUUGGAGCACAUGACAGGCUGGGAAUGCAAGUUUAUCCUUUGAAGCUUCUAAAUGCAAACGAGACAAAAGAGUUGACACUAGACCUGCUUAAGAGUACAGAUAUAACUGAUCUUCAUAAUAAGAAGCAGAGAGGCCAAAUUGUGCUUGAGCUGAGGUACGCUCCUUUCAGAGAAGACAGUGCUUCGUUUAGCGGGCCUCUUGACAGAUUCAGUAGGAAAGCAAGCAUAAUUGACACUAAAUCCAGCAAUGAGAGUUACAGCGGAGCUGGUUUACUUUCGGUUACUGUUUAUGGAGCUGAGGAUGUAGAAGGGUCACGUCACAACAAUCCAUACGCUCUGAUAAUUUUCCGAGGAGAAAAAAGGAAAUCAAAGGUGAGUAACGUAGCAUGGUUUCUUCCUUCGUUUCACCUAUUUGCCUUGGAAAUCAAGUCAUUCGACAAAACACGAAGAGUAUGUAAAGGUGUUAUCUUAUGCUUCUCUUUUCUCAUUUGCUUUCUGUUUAUUAUUGGGGUUAGCUCAUUUUUGCUACCUUGAGAAAGCACAGAAGACACAUCCAGACCUUUCAAUACAAUAAUACUGUCUCCUACUUAAUACUAGCAGCGAAUGAAGCUAGAAAAUGACUAGCGUUUUAGUAUCAUUUCAGCUGCUAACAAUGAAGAAAAUUUUGUUCCCUCAGAUGAUCAGGAGAACUCGUGAUCCAGCAUGGAAUGAAGAGUUCCAGUUUACGCUGGAUGAGCCUCCUGUUUCUGAGAAGAUUCGUGUGGAGGUCAUGAGUAAGCGUACACGAUUCGGAUUGCAAUCAAAGGUAAUCAAAUCCAUCACCAUCCCAUUCUGAGUCUUUUUGGUUCCCAUUUAAUUGUUUAGCAUCACUGAGUAUCUUGAAUUGUUUUGUUUCUGUACAGGAAUCACUGGGAUAUGUGGAAAUCAACCUUGCUGAUGUUGUGAACAAUGGAAGAAUGAAUGAAAAAUACCAUUUAAUUGAUUCAAAGUAUGGACAGAUACAUGUUGAAUUACGAUGGAAAACAGUAUAAGUGCAAUUGUCUUGAACAUGAUGGAUGUUCUGGUAAAAUUUCAGCUAUAGCAACAUCAUUAGUGCGAAUGAAAGGUCGGCUACUGGAAGAUAAAUGCUCGAGAUUGAGUGCCAAAAGUUACGUUGUUCCGUUUGGGCAUUACUACAUUAUUGGUCAAAUUCUUGAAAGGGAAAAUUGCAGAAACCUCCCUUGAGGUUUCUGACACUUGCACUCACCUACCCUGUGGUUUAAAAAAUUACACUCACCUCCCCUAAACUUACUGACUCUUUGCAUAUUCAGUCCAAGCGAUUAAAAUAUUGUUUUACGGAGUGAAAUGAGAUAUUUGUGCCAGAUUUGCCCUUUGUGCUACAUGCCAAAUAGUAUUAGCAAAGGAAUGAUAAAGUAUUACAAAUUAAUUAACAAUUAAUAAACUUUAAGGGAUGUAGUUUUAUAGGCAAAUAGAUAUUACUUAUUCAAAGUACCAUCUCUUUAUAGGAUUUUGAAAAUCAUAAGAAAGGUUACGUGAUAAAGCAUUAAAUUGUAAAGUGGUCAAAUGCCAUGCAUAAUAUGUUUAUAAAUCUUAAUCACUUCAGUUAUUUUCAUUUCUAAACAAAGGCUUCUCCUCGACAUUUUCAGAUUGUUCCGUUACAAAAAACCAUUUACACUUUAGUUGAAAUUACAAGAGGGUUUUUGUAUAAUUUUUGAAACUAUAGGAGUAAAAAAAAGUGUAAUUUACCCAAAAAAAAUGCCACAAAUUAUUCAUACAGGAUUGUUAUAGUAAUGAGAAAUUACAGAAAAUAAGAUUUUUGUAUAUACUUAGAUAUCUACCAAAGCGUAAAUAAAUGGUGAUAUACUCCAUCGUCCAAGGCAUUAUUCGUUUUGUUACAUUUCCCAUAUAGGAUACGGGGCGUGACAGGUUACCUACAUUACACCUAUUAUUAUCGGAGCACCAACCGUAUCCAGUCUCAUUCUCCAAUAGUGGGCCUAGAUCAAUGAUGCCCAAUCUUCAGAAGUUGUAAUUCUCCAGAUAAGGAUCGAUUAGUGGAUUAAUCUUGGAUCGCCCUUGGGCCUUGGCUCAUUGCUGUCCUGCAGCAAAAGGUUUUCUGUCAGACUGACAGCCCUUUCUCUUUCUUUCUUUUCUUUUUGUGUAUUUUCUCUUGCAAAACAGUCAGUGUCGCUGUCCUUUAAUUGAAAAAGGAACCGUGACAUUUUAUUUUCUUGCAAGAAAAUAUUUGAAAAUUUAGGAACUCUAAAUACAUUUGAUUUCUGGAUUUCUUCUCUUGUUCACCCAAAUUAUAUAUUAUAUAUAACAAAAAAGAAACAUGAAUUUUUCAGGAUCAAUUGGAAGAUGUCAGAAAAGAAGAUAAAAGAGUGCCAUUCUUAUCACACUGCUUUUCUGGCAAAUUGUGGAUUGUCUUUUCAUCUUUUCUUCCUCUCCUAUACUUAUCUUUCUCCUAUGGAUUGGCUGGUUCAUCCGAUUUGGUCAACUUCACAACCCGAUCUAAAAUUCAACUAUUAAAAACUCAGGCAUGCAUCGAACCAUUUUGCCCCUAGAAUUAUUGCUGCAUACUAAGUACAAGAUCACUAUAAUUUUAUGUUUUAGCUCAAACAAAACCUGCCAAAUGCGUCAAUUUGGACCUGGGAUGUGCUGAUAGAACCAGGAAUAACAAAAUAGUCACCUAAACCGGAUGUAUUCGUUCGUUUGUGGCUUUUCUAGUACAUUAUUAUAGUCAAGACUCGAGGGCAAUUAUGCUCCUGAUAAUUCUAAUGUUGUGAAAUUGUGAAUCAAAUCGUGCUGACGAUUUCCAGUGAUCUGUUAAUGAAAUUUGCUUAUAUAUAUGUUUUUUAUUUUUUUUAAAAAAAAAGAAAAAAGAAAAGUCUGUGGGCACUGAUGAAUUGAUGCGUGGUGAUGGUCCAACUUGGCUCAUGCAAUAUUCCGGCGAUAACUCAGGUGUCAGUGCGCUCGUGUCUCGUCGCAAUUAGCCCUACAUCCCAUCAUUCAUUAUUGUCUCACACUAGUGUCGCAACGAGCCAUCAUUAUUUACCUUUGGGGGAUAAUUUAAUUCAAUACUACCAUACCUCAUCAUAAUUCGACGAAAAAUAUGUAUACAACCAAAUUUACAAAAAAAAAAAAAAAAAACGUGGUGGAAACGUGAUACAUGGAAUUAGAGGUUUUUUUCUUUUUCCCCUUUUUCUUCGCUGUUCAUUCAUGAACUCUCGAGCAAAGCGAGAGAAAUUGAUCAAUCUUCUCAUAUUGUUGAACUCGACUUUUAUUAUUCCUUCUCUACGUUAUUUCUUUGUUUCUCUUCUAUUCUUCCACAAACUCCCUGCAGUAGACACUAAUCUUGAGAACAGUUUGAUUUGUGAAUAAGAUUAAAGAAAUUUAAAUCACAAAGAAACAACUCUAAGUUAUGAUUAAGAUCCAAAGAAGAAUUAAAGAUUCUGAAUUCAAUUUCUCCCUUCUCCACUUCUUAAAUUAAUCCCACCUUUCUCUCACUAAAAAAAAAGAAAAAGAAAAAGAAUUAAGCUGGAUCUCAAUCCUCAAGAUGAACUUAAUUCAUCUCUCAUCUCGUGACAUCUUGUCAUAAACAAUGCGUUGCAGGUGGUUAAUUAAUUACCUUGCCUAUGCAUUCAAGCACGUAUAUAUGCACACACAUAAAGUAUGAUUCUUAUCUUGCUCUAGUGCUCUUGAAACCAACUAAUCAAAACUUUAAUAUUUGAUUAAGUACUAACAACUUGUCACUAGUUAGUGGAGGUGGGAACUUCAUUCCAUUCACGAAUAUUCCUGACCAAAAUUAAAAAGUCUUCGCAAAAAUACAUGGUUUUGAAAUUUCCACAUUCUACUUCUCAACUAUAGAGCAUAUCCAUGUGAUGCUGUUACCGAAGAAGAGUCAGUACGGCCAAAGAUUAAUCGGCCUGAGUUUUCCAAUCGGCCCCUGUAUAGCAUAUGGCACAAUACCUAUUUGGAUGGUCAUGAUAUUCCAUGCGAAUUGCGACAUGAAUAAUUAUAAGCUUUGAGGAAAAUUGGACCUUGCUGGGGUGCAAGAUAUGGAUUAGGUUUGACUUGCUGAUGGUAAUCAUCCAAGCCACCACACAUGUGACAUCAUGAUAAGAAGGAAAAAGGAGGCUUCAUAAUCAUGGUGGGAUGGAUCGCAAUAUUGAAGGGUCACCCUCAGUACCAGUGUUCGAUCUAUUUUGUUUGCUACUUUUUAUAUAUUGAAUUUGAUAUAUAUAUAUAUAUAUAUAUAUAGUGUGUUUAGCCAUUUCCAAUGUUUAUUUAUUCAGAAAUUAACAUGUUCAGUACGAAGCUAAUUAUGUAAAUUUCAUUUUGUAGAGCUAGUUUUCCAAAAUGUUUGCAAAUGAUGUCUCAAGUCAGCAUCGACGUUACUCGAGUAAAGAUCAUGUCUGAGGUCACCGGGCUGGCCCCCAGAAAUAAAAUGAAUAAUGGUUCCAAAAAGUUCAGGACAAAGCUGACUUACAUACAUACAUGAGGCCUCUUACUUGCAAAACACCUCAAAUCCAGAAAAAAAGAACAUUUGAAAAAAUAGAAAAGAAAUUUAAUGAAGAUUGCCCAAAUGCAUGGCGCCAACAAUAAAACCUAGUUAUUAUUUGCUCGUCCGAAGCCAAUGGCGAAAAACCCUAGCUCAUCGAUCUCAACAAAUAAAUAAGUAUUAUCCAACGUUUUACCAAAAACCCUAUCAAGAAAGGAGGUUAAAUUCAUGAUCAGGUCAAACACAAUUAAUGUGUUCAUCUUGCCAAGACAACAGAUAGGCUUCGUACACGACAUCGCUCGUACAAGAGUCGUGCCAUUUCAAUAUCAAAGACUAAACGACAAACAUACACAAUUGUUAGUUGUACUCUAAUCUAAUAUCACCUAAGUGGGGACACCAUAGGGGCAAAGACUUCUCACUAUUUUCUAUAAAAUUACUACUCAUUAUACCAAAAAGUCACUUAGUAUCUACUUGCCCAGAAAGUCGGCAAAUUUAGAUAAGAAAAAGAUUUAAAAGGGAACCUAUCCCCCCCCCCCCCACAAAGGAGUUAUGACGAUUCUUUCUUUGUUAGUGGAUCUUUAUUCAUUGCAAUGAGGGCUGCGAAUUAUGAAGAUCUCCCACUCUCUUUUUCUCAUACACACGCAUUCUCUGCUCUCUCUCUCUCUCUCUCUCUCUCUCUCUAAUACAUGAAUGAACAUCUAUGGAAAUAAGUAAAAUUGUUGGGAGGCAUGUGUGGUCUCAAAAGGUGAAAUGAAAUGAAAAGGAGUCACUUUCUUGGUUACUAGUUGCUGUUGUUUUGUGGGGGAAAGGAAUAACUUUUUGCAGCUUAAAAAGAUAGGGCAUUUUUCCUUUUAAAAGGUUGGCUUUUGAGAGGAGAGUGUAAACCGUAAAGUUGAGUGGGAAUAGAGAACUUCGCUCCACUCAAAGACUUAAAAGAAUUACCUUAUACUACUUAAUUAGCUUAUACUUGUCUUGGUGAUAGUUUUUUGCUUCUCAUUUCUUGCGCCAAUGGAUAUUGUUGUGUAUUAAUUGUACACCAUAGUACCAAUCCACUGGUUCAUCUAAGUGCGUUUUGUCAAGCUUUGGCUUACAUAUAAAGUUGACGAAGUACAGAAGAAGAUGAAUAUUUUUGAUGCCUUCCAUUUGUCAAUUGCCCCAGAUACCAGUGAACAGAAUUUCGAUCUUGGUACUAGUUCCCAGUCCACAUUCGUACUUUUAUAGAGUUAUAUAUAUAUGUACAUUUAGGCUAGUAGCUAGCUGCUGCAAAUAUAUGAUUCGGAUUAUUGGGUUUGUUUGUUCUUCUUAGAAUUGGAAGUAGAGAGUCGGCACAGUUUUGUCAAGCCAUGUAAUUCUCGUAACUUUUUUCCUCAAAGGAUUUUGUUUAGCCCAGGUUCUUGGUGACCACCAACUUUUUACUCAUCGUGAAUCCAGUAUGAUUUUGUUGGAUGGAUUUAUAUCAAAAUCGCUACACGAAGCCUUACAAGCGGAUGAAUUGAGAUUCUUUUCAAAAAGAAUGGAUGACACGAAAAAAUUUCAUAUAUGUUCUUGUCAAAGUUACCAAACAUGUGGAGAACAGCCUUUAUAUAUAGAACCCAAACGCCCGAACGCUUGCCUCUUUUUUUCUUUUAUGACGUAAUUGAGAUAUUUUGAAUCCAAAAUUUUGUGCUUACAAUCCCUUUAAUCCUACCAUCCAAUCCAACCCUUCUUUCAAGUUACUCUCAACAAAUAAGUCCUCGGGAUUUAUUUGAUUAGGAAGUAGUUUGUUUGAUUAUCAACAAUCAUUCAUGACUUUUUGCGGAAAUUAAAUUAAAAAUUAAUUAUGAUAGUCAAUUAAUGAAUGUCAUUGCGCCCUAAUGAAACAAAAGAAAAUGCCAUAAAAAACAAUAGAGAAAAUUAUAGCUCUAUUUUAAACUUUUAAUUACGUCCAUAUGACUAAUUCCUUGAACAUGCUUGCCAUUUUAUGGAAUCAAAGUUGUGCAAGCCACGUAUAAAUAUAUGUCAAGAAUAAAGGAAAAGAUUAUAUACAACCUGCAUGUCUCGAGUAUUCAAGUGUCCACCACUGACUUCGAAUUAGAUAUGGUGAGAUCUAGAUCACCUGAAAGUCCACUCCAACCCCAAGGAGCAUAUAUUCUCGAAGAAUAAAUCUCCAGCCCUUUUCCCCACAAAUUCUUGCAACGACUAUUUGAAUGGCGUACAUAAUAAAACACGUUGCAUCAGUUACCGAAGACUACUAAUUCAACCUUUGUCGUUGGUGACAAGACUUGGCAUCAUCUUGCCAAAUUAUUGGUACGACACUAAACUUUGAAUGUAAGAUUUUUAUACAUUGUGGGGACGAAUUUUUUUUUUUUUUUUUUUUACAUUAACAGAUUUAGAUCAUAAUAUAUACUAAAAAUCUAAAUUAUGUACAUGUGUGACGUACAUUCAUAAUUAGUAGUGUAAAAAAAUCACUACACUAUCAAUGCAGAUGAAGGUCGACCGAUCCAAACUUUAAAGCAUGGUCAUAUUAUUUCUUUAGUAUGAAAAUUGGACAAAAAGAUGGAAGCGAGGAAAACAAUAAUAUCUCUUAUCGUUUGGAAAAAAAAAGAGGAAGACAAUAAUAAAUCUUUCCGCAGGUAGACGAAAUAAACACGGCCAUAUUAUAUGGAUUUUGUUAUUUCAAUUAAUUCUAAUGGGACACUGAAAUAGUAAAUACAAACUUGUAGACAAUGAUCGAGCUUAAUUAAGAGAAGGAACUAAAAUGUUGCCUUGGGAUUGUUCUUUUCUAUUUUGGCUCAUGUCAAAUGUAUUGCAGGCCUCUAUAUAAAAUCGAAAUAAUAAAUUAACUAAAUUUCUAGUUAACAUAAAAUUGGCCGGCAUAUUUUUUUCAUAAAUUGUUUUCUUGUUCAUUCCGAAAGGAACAUAAUAUAAAUUGCCUAAUCAAAGUUAGAUGGUAAAGACCCUACCUACUCUUGAGCCUUCUUGGCUAUAUAAAGAUUUUCAAAAAACACGUACUAGGUUUGAUGUCGGUAUACGGCUUCCAAUUCCAUCUAUUAAAGAUUGAUGAAGAAGACUUCAUAAACGUUUCAGUACCCAUUCUAGAGGAAGAAAAGUAGUAAUAGCAUUAAAUUUGAGACUUGACCAAAUCGUUAUGUUGCUGCUACCUAUUAUGGGCUAGCUGUCUUGCAACGUAACAACAGCUUUGACAAAAAUUUUUUUUUUUUUCAUGUUUUCUGCUUUCCACUUACGUAAUACUUAGAAAACUUGCUUUAAAAAAUAAAAACUUGGGCUUCAUUAGGUUUGCAAUUGUUACAAAAUGUGAUUCUUCAACCACACUUUUUGAUCAUACGUUAAGUCUCAAAAACACUACUAUUUUAUUUUAUAUUUUUUUUUUGAAAACCUUUCUUCCAAGAAAUGCCAUAGUCAAGAGGUAAUGGCGUUGAGAUGUCUCAGAGCUGUAAUAUUCCUCCUCAAACUCGAAGGCAUUGAAGAAGAAGAGCCACGUCUAAUUUGGCUUGGUGGUUGAAGAAAAAUCAAGUGGCCAAGCGCCGACGACCAAACCAAUGUGUUAAAACUGUACCUAGCCCACGGGACGAUUACAAAAAUAUAUUCUAUUUUGCACCAAUCUUUGACCAUUUGACGACAAGAAACCGGCUUUCGGAUGUGACAAAACUGAUGCUAGCAAAUUAGGUGUAGAAGUCAAUCUAUUCUCAUGCCAUAUUUUUGGCAAAAAAAAAAACAUUUUUUUGGUAACCCGUAUGAAUAAGUAAUCUUUAGUGUACGGGCUAGUUUCCAAAUUGUGGGAUUCUUUUUGCGUUUUAUCUCAGAAAAAUGAUACUAAAUGACUCACCAAAUUAGAAAAAGGAGGAAGGUUGAGUUGAGUGAUAAUGUAAAAAAAAGUUUAUAAAUUAGGGAUCGUGAAUUCAAGAUCUUCUGCUUAAAAAAAAAAAAAAUUAGAGGAAGAGAGGGAAAUUGGCGUUAAAUACUUACGAGAGAAAAUUAAAUCAGAAGAAGGAUUAAAGUGAACAAAGGUUGACCGAGGCCGAGGCCGGCCACAACUAUAAAGGAGGAAAAUGUGAUGAUGUGCACGUGUGGGCGUACUUAUCAAAUCAUCUGGUAAAUGCAGCAGCAUUAGAAAAAUCCCACCUCAUUUGACCCAUCUCUAAUUGUCCAACAAUACUGCUUAGUGGGGCCCCAAUUGGGCUUACUGAUCCACAUUUCCAUCGCAUUCUUCUGAGUCAUCGAUCCACAAUUUACAACUAAUCAUUUUUUAUUUUUUAUUUUUGGAUUUGAAAAGUUUGCCUAGUGAGGUUUUCUAGAAAAGGAGUAUGCCCUAAUCCACUUUAGAUUAUUUACUAAUAUUUGCUAAUCAAAUAAUUUUCUUUUUGUAAGACAUGAUUUAGAUAGGAUCACGCAUGAUUUUACUGGGAGGUGAUGGGUAGGUAGUGUAGUGCCAGAAAAAGCAGAGUAAAAAAAGAUAUGGCAAACCUCAUGAUAUGAUCGUUGGAAAUUAGGACAUGCGAUAAAUAUAUAUAUUUUUAUGAGUUGAAGCCUAAAUACGCAGGAUUGAAAUUUUGAAUCCCGUUUAGUGCAUCAUACAAGAAGUACAGUGCUUCUUCUUAUUAUUAUUUUUUUUUUAAAUUCAAAGAGUGCAGUAAUACAAUUAUCUGAUAUAGUGAUUCACCUACCAAUUCUUACAUAAAGUCUCUUUAUAACAGGUUAGAUGGUUGACGUUGCAGACCAAAAAAAAAAAGAGAGGGAGAGAGAGAACCACUUUACUUGAUUAAAAAGGUUUUGAUGAUAUAGCCAAAUUGAUCAGAAUCUGCCGUCAAAGAAAAUUACCUGACCCGAAGAUAAAAUGUUGGAAAAACUACAACUAUAAGGUGAGAGAUUUUAGAUUCCACGAGAAAUAGAAUUAUAAACUUAGGGAGGAAUAGUAACUUGGAUUUCUUCUUAAACGCCUGGGGUAUGUAACUUACCUAGUAAUGGUCACAAGUGCUUUUUUUUUUUUUUGAAACGCUCUUAAUUUCUUGUACAUGUUUCAACCUACAGAAAAAGGUCAGAGGACACGGUUUUAAGGCUAAAACAGAGAGAAAAGUUUACUUUUGGAAUUUUUCAGACAAUAGACAUUUUGGUGUGGUCGAAUGAUUAGUAAUUUCAGACAAAUUUAUAUCCUUUUAUAUAAAAUCAGAGUAGUUGUCCUUCAAAUUGCUAAACAUUUUAGCCUGUCAUUCACUCCAGCCAUCAACACCACGUGAUACAUGUUAGCAUGAUAAUAAAACAUAUAUAUAUAUAUAUAUAGUCCUUUUAAAAGGCUUACGAAAAUAAAAUAGAAGUAAUUCUAAUUUUUCAUCCAUAGCGGGGCAAAUUGGAGAAAUUCAAUAUUUUAGUUCUUACAAACACGCCUUGAUUGGAUUGAUACUUUUUUUUUAUAAAAUUUUUUAUAAAUAAAUUUUUUAAUUAUAUUUUAAUCUCAUAAACAUAGGCCUUGUUUGCAGGUAAGUUUUUUGUCAAGUUUAUCUGUUACAAGUUUUUUAAAAACUUUAGUCACAGUAACGUCAAAAAAAUUUUCAAAAUUUUUAAACUAUAUAUUUCAAAAUAUUAAAAAAUUUACAUAUUUCAAAAAUUUUUUAAAAAAUUUUUAUAGUAAAUUACAAUAAAAUUUUAGAUAAAUACCCAAAAUAACUCACUUAUCAAACAGUGUCAUAAUUCGCUGUAAAAGCAAGGAAAGUAAAUGCAUGACUCGUGGCUGGUGAUGCACUGUUUUUAUCAGGUGGAGAAAUAAAAAGUGUAAAAAUGAAAUGUCAAACCGCCCAUAUUCCCAAGUCCCCCAACUCAAACAAAUAAACAACAAAAUCCACAGGUCAGACUCAACUCUCCCUUCCUAAUCUUCUACAAUUCAACUCUCUCUCUCUCCACAUUCAUUUUGAUUCGUCCGCUCGUGGCCGCAGGCCGCCAAUUGAAUCUACUACUAGUACUUCUACUCCUGCAGCAAGAAGAGUAAAAGCAGAGACAAUAUUAACAAAGCCCACCUCCUCUUCUUCGGUUCUUCCUCCUCUUCCCUUCCUCUCAACUACCCAUUAACCAUUUUCAAUCAAUCUAUCCUCCCCUGAACCACACACCACACACUACUGUGUUUUUCUUGAUUUUCGAGCUCCGCACUAGACACUUUUCCUUUAUUUUUACUGCUAAAGUUUCCUGCUUUCUACUUUUUGAGCAAAAACCCAUCUCGAAAAUAAGCUUUUUGUUGAAUCUUGGUACGGGAUUUUGUUAAAAAAAAAAUAUGGGGAGCAAAUGGAGAAAAGUGAAGCUGGCUCUUGGGAUGAAUCUUUGUGUUUAUAGUCCAAGAACUGGGAAUGAUGAUGACUCUUCUCCAACGUCCGAGAUACUUUCCAACGCAGCACUGCUCUCUCCGUCCACCGAUGGUAGCCUCCACAAUACUUCUCCUUCUCCUUCUCCUACUUCAGGGUCUCAGGGCCAUGGGUUCAGGUUGUCCAAGAGCUUGAGCAGGUCUUCUAAGGUUUGUGUCUUGGACCUCCUUUUCUUUUUCUUUGUCCCUUUCUUCUUUUGUUUGGGUUAUUCGUUUUUUGGGUCUACAAUGGGUUUUUUGGUUUGCUGGGGUAUGAGAAAAUUGAGGAAGUUUGCUGGUUCAUUUGCUGGCUAAGAUAUCUGGGAGAUGAAAUGCUUGUUAACUAGGGAACAGGAGAUUGGAACAGAUGAAAAACUAGAGUCGUUUUCGUUGUGGUUGUGCUAAAUUGAUGAGAAAAAUGGAGCAGUGUAAACUGUGAUUGAAAAGUCGAUAGCCUUUCUGUUCUUUUUGUUUCUUCUUUUUCAAUUGUUUGGGGCUUUGGGGAAGAAACUGAAGAAAAUUCUACCGUAAAUGGCUUAAGCUGAGGAUUUGGAGGAAUAUAGUGAAACCAGUUUGAGCCUUUUGUGACAUUACCCAAGUUUCUUUUUUUGGCUGUGAAGUGUAGAUGUGUAAUAUUAAUAAAGGCAAUGACAAAUAAGAUAGUUUGAUCUCUCCCCAAAAGGAUUAUUGCUAUCACUAGCUGUAAGGGAUCAAAGUAUGUUGUAAUUCCUAUUGGUGCUUUCAUUUUUUCAAGAACUGUACUGGGAUCUGAUCCUGCUUUAGGUGUUAUGUUUGCUUCUGAGGGAACAAUGUUGAACAGCAAAACGGAGGUUAAGUUGGAGAUUUGCUAAAAACAUAAGAUUCAUCUCGCUGUUAGCUUUUUUUUAGGUGUCAUCUAUCGUUAGUUUUACAUCUAUCUGAAUUCUGUUUGGUCCUGCUGCUAUGGCAACUGAGGCAAUAAAGUUUCAAACAUGGGAUGUCUGAUCGUCUUUGCAGAAAAUUUAAAAGAAAAUACUAAACAGAUUUUACUUUUUGUUUUUGACAUAGAUAAAUAUCGUUGUAUCCUACAUCUGUCAUUUCUCGUUGUUCCAAUGGCAUGAUCUUCCUCUGUAUUGGAUAUGUUGUAAAUUCUGGCUUUGAUUCAAUGGGUAUAUUGCUUUCACUGUUGCUUUUUCUCCUGUACCUGCUAAUUUGAAACCUUAAGAAGUAAUUUGUUCAGAGUCUUUUGUUUUUCAUUUGUGUUUGUGCCUGCAUAGGCAAUCUGGAUGAUCAAGAAAUAACUAAAGGCAGAGAUGAAAAAGAAAGGAUGCUGCAGUCCCCUUGUAGACUUGUAGUGUGAAAAAAAAAAAGGACAAAGUCUUUUAGACUAGUCAACAAAUCCAUUCUAAACAGCUAUCAAACAUGCUUGUGGGUUCGUCUUUGGAAAUGACAAAUGCUGCUAGUCUUUUCAACGAAUCAGUUGUGGCACUUUAAUUAGAAUUACCUUUACCAGAAAACAGGACCAUGACCUUCGUGUCACACGAAACCUCCAGUUUAUCGGUUACAAUGAAAAUUACUGAAUUCUCAUUGCUCUGGAUACAAAUCAGUGAUAGAGGAGGAGAAAAGAGUUAGAAUACGGAAACUUUAAACUGUAGUUUGCAAAAUGCUUAAAUUGACAAAAAAUAUAGGAGGUUUUAUAUCUUUGUAACUUUGUAAAAGCGCCUCCACUUAAUUGAGAAACAAAUUGUACUCUAGAGAAUAUAAAAGAACUGACUGGAUCCAGCUUUAACUUGAGAGAAGGGUAAGUGCAAGCUUUUAGGAUAUAAAUGCUUGCUAUUACUGUUUAUUCCCUAAAAUGUUUAUACAAAAUACUGUAUGGAAUCACUUUUGUAUUGCAAUUCAAACUUUUAAGCAAGCCCAGCUGGAGGAAUCCAACUGAAAGUUGGUGAUUGAGUACAUUGUGAAAUCCUCCCGAGUUUAUAAUUUAGCUCAAAAUGCUUUAACGGGAGAUAAGUUUCAUUGUGUUUGAUAUCAUCAUUGAACCUAAAAAUUUGAGUUUAAUGUACAUGUAAACAUGACAUUGUGGUGACUCAGCUUAGUGGUCUAUGCCCAAUAAUACUGUUCUCUAAUUAUUUCGGUGUUUGAAUUAUCAGAUGCUUAACCUGACCUUAAAGUCAAACUCAGUGUCUGUAUAAGUCAAACCGGAAUUGUCCUUCUAGUUAUUAAUCCUAUCCGUUAUUACUUGAACUGUUAUCCUGCUUUUCACUUGACUUCUAUUGUCAUCUCACUGGAUCUUCAAUUUGACAUACAGAAGACGUGCUCGAUAUGUUUAGCCUCAAUGAACCGUGGAGAUGGUCAUGCGAUAUUCACUGCCGAAUGUUCACAUUCUUUUCACUUCCAGUGUAUUGCUUCCAAUGUAAAACAUGGAAACCAAAUAUGCCCAGUUUGUAGAGCAAAGUGGAACGAGAUUCCCCUGCAGUAUCCAAAUUUGGAUCCUCCCCCUGGAAGGGCUAGAGUUAAUCCUGUUGAUUGGCCCCAACAUAAUGCUCUAAUGACUGUAGUGCGCAGACUCCCUCCACCUCGUCCUAAUCCUAAUCGAAUCAAUGCACCUCCAUUUCCGGCUCCUGAGCCUGCUAUCUUCAAUGAUGAUGAAUCUUUGGGUCAUCAGUCCGACUCUAGUGAGAGAAGCUCUUCGGGCAAGAAUGUUGCAGAAAAUGAUGGCCAAAGAACAAUGAAAAUCAAAACAUACACCGAAGUUCCAGCUGUCCUCCGGUUCAAUGUUGCUGAUAACUUCACGAUCUUAAUUAAUCUCAAAGCUCCAGCUCCAAAUUCCAGUGAGAACAUGAGUAGAAACCAGGCAAGUUCACCCCAAGUUUCCCAAACAUCUCGUGCACCUGUUGACCUUGUCACGGUUCUAGAUGUCAGUGGCAGCAUGGCAGGUACCAAGCUUGCAUUGCUCAAGCGAGCUAUGGGGUUUGUGAUACAGAACCUUGGUCCCAAUGACAGGCUUGCAGUAAUUGCCUUCUCAUCAACCGCCCGCCGGUUGUUUCCCCUUCGUAGGAUGUCUGAAACAGGACGGCAGCAAGCACUGCAAGCUGUUAACUCUUUAGUUGCAAAUGGAGGGACAAACAUUGCUGAAGGCUUGCGCAAGGGUGCCAAGGUAAUGGAAGAUCGCAGAGAAAAGAACCCUGUUGCCAGUAUUAUAUUGCUAUCUGAUGGGCAAGAUACAUAUACAGUUAGUAACAUGGGGAGCAGUCAACAGCAACCAAAUUACCAACUUCUUCUUCCAUUGUCUAUCCACAAUGAAAGUAGUUCUAAUUUUAAGAUUCCAGUGCAUGCUUUUGGGUUCGGGGCAGACCAUGAUGCUUCAUCAAUGCACUCAAUCUCAGAGAUAUCUGGAGGAACCUUCUCUUUCAUUGAAACAGAAGGUGUAAUCCAGGAUGCAUUUGCUCAGUGCAUUGGUGGACUUUUGAGUGUUGUGGUCAAGGACCUGCAGGUGAAUAUUGAGUGUGUUGAUCCAAGAGUCAGUCUUGGUUCCUUAAAAGCUGGAAGCUACCCCAAUCGUGUGAUGUCGGAUGGAUGCAUGGGAACUAUUGAUGUUGGCGACCUGUAUGCUGAUGAGGAACGAGACUUUCUAGUUUCAGUUAAUGUCCCAACUGAAAUUUCAAGCUCUGAAACUGCAUUGAUAAGGGUGAAAUGUGUUUACAAUGAUCCUUUGACAAAAGGCUCGGUGACUGUUGGAAGUGAUGAAGUUAGGAUUAGAAGACCUGAUGAAGCUGGACAACAAAGUGCAUCAGUUGAAGUGGAUAGGCAACAGAACAGGCUGCGUGCGGCUGAGGCGAUGCUCCUAGCGCGAACUACGGCUGAGAAAGGAGACCUGUCUGGUGCAGCAUCUAUUCUUGAAAACUGUCGCAAGGUGUUGUCAGAAACUGUUUCGGCCAAGUCUCAUGAUCGGCUCUGCAUUGCACUUGAUGCUGAGCUUAAAGAAAUGCAAGAGAGACUGGCAAGCAGACAUGUGUAUGAAGCAUCAGGAAGGGCAUAUAUUCUUUCAGGACUAAGCUCACACUCAUGGCAGAGAGCAACAGCACGAGGUGACUCGACGGAUGGUUCAAGCCUGGUUCAGGCCUAUCAAACCCCGUCAAUGACCGAGAUGCUGAAUCGGUCUCAGGCUUCCCUACUAGGUAGUUCUUCAGCUCAGAGGCUCAUUCGACCUGUUUUAUCAUUUGCAUCACAUCCAAAGCCAAGGUGACCUUGCGACACCAAGAUAUGGAGUUUUCUCAAAGAUAACUGUUUUUCAUUGGUCUCCUUGAUGCUAUAGCUGUGCUUAUUUGUGUUUUGGGCCGGGGAAAAGUUAAUAGGUAAGAAACAGUUUUGGGUGUCAUUAUCUUCCUGUCUCAAUUAUGUAAAGCAAUAAACAUUGGUGAAGCGUGGAAAGUAUAAUGGGGUCAAGGUAAGGGGUAAACGGAGUAGGAUAAUCCAACUUUUGCUUUUUGUUGUUUCUUUUUCACCUUGUGGGUAUCAUUGGGGGUGGUGUACAUAAGGAAAGAUGGAUUUUCAUCUGAGAGAGAAGCCGGUAUAAGUUUGUAAUUGUGGAAAUAUUUUGUGAACUGCGCAGCUAUUACAUAAGAAUGUGAUUCUUUCACGGAGUUUUAAUAAUCAUGCAGUGGUAUGACUGGUACUAAUUCUUCAGCCACUUGAUAAAAUGGACUCUCUCUUUACGCAACUGAGAUCAUGAUAAGCAUGCAAAAAGUCACUCAAGAUGGUAUGGUACUACUAUCAUGGGAUGGAAAAGAUGAAACAUAUAUUAUUGUUUAAUUUUAGGAAAAGAUGAACUUCAAAGUUGACCUUCCGUGGAGACUUGUGCUUCUCCUCAUUCAUUACUAGUCCAGAGAACAAAAGCUAGCACUACAGUGCUUUGACAUUGCACCGGAUUGUUGCCAAGAAAUACACUACUGUACUGUCCUACUGUACUGUAAAAGAUGGUGUGGUGCAUUAUUCUAAACGGUCCAUACCCUUUUCCAGCCUCUCAAUUGACUUUAAAAACUUUGGGGAUUGAUAAAGAUGGUCAUGAUCCUUUAUUUUUUUCAUGAUCCUUUAUUGAUUCACUUUUUUGUUGCAUGAAAUGUCUCAUAACGUAGAAAGCUUUAAAAAAAUAUUGGGUACUCUUUAGCUUUUUGUUCCGUUACGUCUUUUCAUACGAUAAGGGGAAAUUAAUUCUUAUCUUUGCCGCGGGCGGGCUCACAUAUCAGAUUAUUAUGUGCGAGAAUAGGCAGCUUUACUGAUUGCGAGCAAAGAUUGAAUAUCAUCAGGUCAGCAACUGUGGCAAUCUCAAAGCUCCAGCUCCAAAUUCCAGUGAGAACAUGAGUAGAAACCAGGCAAGUUCACCCCAAGUUUCCCAAACAUCUCGUGCACCUGUUGACCUUGUCACGGUUCUAGAUGUCAGUGGCAGCAUGGCAGGUACCAAGCUUGCAUUGCUCAAGCGAGCUAUGGGGUUUGUGAUACAGAACCUUGGUCCCAAUGACAGGCUUGCAGUAAUUGCCUUCUCAUCAACCGCCCGCCGGUUGUUUCCCCUUCGUAGGAUGUCUGAAACAGGACGGCAGCAAGCACUGCAAGCUGUUAACUCUUUAGUUGCAAAUGGAGGGACAAACAUUGCUGAAGGCUUGCGCAAGGGUGCCAAGGUAAUGGAAGAUCGCAGAGAAAAGAACCCUGUUGCCAGUAUUAUAUUGCUAUCUGAUGGGCAAGAUACAUAUACAGUUAGUAACAUGGGGAGCAGUCAACAGCAACCAAAUUACCAACUUCUUCUUCCAUUGUCUAUCCACAAUGAAAGUAGUUCUAAUUUUAAGAUUCCAGUGCAUGCUUUUGGGUUCGGGGCAGACCAUGAUGCUUCAUCAAUGCACUCAAUCUCAGAGAUAUCUGGAGGAACCUUCUCUUUCAUUGAAACAGAAGGUGUAAUCCAGGAUGCAUUUGCUCAGUGCAUUGGUGGACUUUUGAGUGUUGUGGUCAAGGACCUGCAGGUGAAUAUUGAGUGUGUUGAUCCAAGAGUCAGUCUUGGUUCCUUAAAAGCUGGAAGCUACCCCAAUCGUGUGAUGUCGGAUGGAUGCAUGGGAACUAUUGAUGUUGGCGACCUGUAUGCUGAUGAGGAACGAGACUUUCUAGUUUCAGUUAAUGUCCCAACUGAAAUUUCAAGCUCUGAAACUGCAUUGAUAAGGGUGAAAUGUGUUUACAAUGAUCCUUUGACAAAAGGCUCGGUGACUGUUGGAAGUGAUGAAGUUAGGAUUAGAAGACCUGAUGAAGCUGGACAACAAAGUGCAUCAGUUGAAGUGGAUAGGCAACAGAACAGGCUGCGUGCGGCUGAGGCGAUGCUCCUAGCGCGAACUACGGCUGAGAAAGGAGACCUGUCUGGUGCAGCAUCUAUUCUUGAAAACUGUCGCAAGGUGUUGUCAGAAACUGUUUCGGCCAAGUCUCAUGAUCGGCUCUGCAUUGCACUUGAUGCUGAGCUUAAAGAAAUGCAAGAGAGACUGGCAAGCAGACAUGUGUAUGAAGCAUCAGGAAGGGCAUAUAUUCUUUCAGGACUAAGCUCACACUCAUGGCAGAGAGCAACAGCACGAGGUGACUCGACGGAUGGUUCAAGCCUGGUUC
rnacentral:lncRNA from 1 species